GAUGAACGCUGGCGGCGUGCCUAAUACAUGCAAGUCGAGCGAACAGAUGAGAAGCUUGCUUCUCUGAUGUUAGCGGCGGACGGGUGAGUAACACGUGGGUAACCUACCUAUAGACUGGGAUAACUCCGGGAAACCGGGGCUAAUACCGGAUAAUAUUUUGAACCGCAUGGUUCAAUAGUGAAAGACGGUUUCGGCUGUCACUUAUAGAUGGACCCGCGCCGUAUUAGCUAGUUGGUAAGGUAACGGCUUACCAAGGCGACGAUACGUAGCCGACCUGAGAGGGUGAUAGGCCACACUGGAACUGAGACACGGUCCAGACUCCUACGGGAGGCAGCAGUAGGGAAUCUUCCGCAAUGGGCGAAAGCCUGACGGAGCAACGCCGCGUGAGUGAUGAAGGUCUUCGGAUCGUAAAACUCUGUUGUUAGGGAAGAACAAAUUUGUUAGUAACUGAACAAGUCUUGACGGUACCUAACCAGAAAGCCACGGCUAACUACGUGCCAGCCGCCGCAGUAA
rnacentral:rRNA from 1 species